CCUACGGGAGGCAGCAGUGGGGAAUAUUGGACAAUGGGCGCAAGCCUGAUCCAGCUAUGCCGCGUGAGUGAUGAAGGCCCUAGGGUUGUAAAGCUCUUUUGUGCGGGAAGAUAAUGACGGUACCGCAAGAAUAAGCCCCGGCUAACUUCGUGCCAGCAGCCGCGGUAAU
rnacentral:rRNA from 1 species